rnacentral:lncRNA from 1 species
CGCUAGGGGCCUGGCAGGGGGCAGCAAGAGACCGCGGAUUACCUGAAGCUGAGUAAUUUAUAAAGAAAAGAAGUUCAAUUGGCUCACAGUUCUGCAGGCUGUACAGGAAGCAUGGCACUGACAUCUUCUCAGCUUCUGGUGAGGGCCUCAGGAAGUUUACAAUCAUGGUGGAAGGCAAAGGGGGAGCAAGCGUCUCAUGUGGCAAGAGGGAACAAACAGGAGACAGGAGGUGCCACACACUUUUAAACAACAGGAUCUCACAAGAGCUUACUCUUACAAGGACAGCACCAAGAAUAUGAGGAAUCUGC